AUCCAACCGACGAGUUCCAAACAGGACGAAACGCGCAUCCCAGAU
rfam:Schistosoma mattheei strain Denwood, Zambia genome assembly, scaffold: SMTD_scaffold0005633